rnacentral:lncRNA from 13 species
AUUUGACUAAUGAGGUUUUGGCAGUAGAAACUGCAAGGAUACAAAAUCUGUACCUGGAUGACAGUGAAAGAGCACAGCACGUCUGACUUACACAACAAUUACGUAUAUUCUAUUUAACUGCAUAACAAUGUUUCCAUUUGUCUUUGUUUAAAAUAAAUUUAAUAUGUUCUGUUUAUUAAUGAUGAAGGGAGGAGUUCACAUAAAGAGAAAAGUAGGGUCUGUACUCAGUCAUGCACAUGGAACAGUGUGACAUUAGCACAGAUUAGGAUCACUAAUAUAAGUUGCUUCAAUAAAGCAAAGGGAAAAUUAGAGGUGAAUUACUGUAGUAAUAUAAACUGAGAAACAAUCGCCAAGGAAAGAUACAAAUAUCAUCCAAACUUGUUGCUCUAAGAAUGUAAAACAGAUGGGUAGGAAGAAUAUCUAGGGAUAGAAGAAAUCAAUCAUUUGCAGUUGAUAUAGAUGAGAGCUUAGUAACCUUUGCCGGCCAACUGGGAAUUCACACAAAAAGCUGGGAUAGCUUAAUGAAGAAGGAAAUACAAAAAACAUUUCUAUUCCAAGUCCCAGAACGCUUACAAAGCUUCAUGCUUCAUUCUAAUGCAUGCAGGCUACUGGGCAGUCCUAGCACUCGGGCUAUUUAAAGACACACUAACUUAUUCAAACACUCGGCUACAGGUCUUUCAAUUCCCAGGACAAACAAGAGCAGCUAAAACACGCACUGUUAGCUUCCAGAAGUAUGUGUUCCCACACUCACAUAAAAGUUCUGUCUCCUAUGCUGUCUGUUCUGUCUGCAACCACCUUCUGAUAAUUUGUUCUGGAUGGGCUUCAGGAAAUGAAGGAAAUUGGUGCACUGCAUCUGUUUUUUCAAUACAUGUAAUAAUUUAUGUCCAACUUUGGUAUUGUUCAAGAUACAGUGGUCCAAAAAGGUGCAGGAACUGUAAAGACACAACUUCUACCUACCCCAGCUCCUCAAUAGAUCUCACACGACCUCAAGCAUACUAUAGUCCCUCCUAUUUCCCUUCUCUGCAUCUUCUCUUCACUGUCCCAAGGACACUGCCCAUGUUGCACAUUUCCCCAUAUGGAAUUACAGCAAGUAAACAUAAAUGGGAAACAAAUCCCCUCCUGCAGAGGCGCAUGUUGCUCUGA